rnacentral:rRNA from 1 species
UACGUAGGGGGCAAGCGUUGUCCGGAUUUAUUGGGCGUAAAGAGCGUGUAGGCGGCCUGAAAGGUCAGCUGUGAAAACUCGAGGCUUAACCUCGAGACGCCGGUGGAAACCGUAAAGCUAGAGUCCGGAAGAGGAGAGUGGAAUUCCUGGUGUAGCGGUGAAAUGCGCAGAUAUCAGGAGGAACACCCGUGGCGAAAGCGGCUCUCUGGGACGGUACUGACGCUGAGACGCGAAAGCGUGGGGAGCAAACAGG